rnacentral:rRNA from 1 species
AUUGAACGCUGGCGGCAUGCCUUACACAUGCAAGUCGAACGGCAGCACGGACUUCGGUCUGGUGGCGAGUGGCGAACGGGUGAGUAAUGUAUCGGAACGUACCUUUCAGUGGGGGAUAACGUAGCGAAAGUUACGCUAAUACCGCAUAUUCUGUGAGCAGGAAAGCAGGGGAUCGCAAGACCUUGCGCUGAUUGAGCGGCCGAUAUCAGAUUAGCUAGUUGGUGGGGUAAAGGCCUACCAAGGCGACGAUCUGUAGCGGGUCUGAGAGGAUGAUCCGCCACACUGGAACUGAGACACGGUCCAGACUCCUACGGGAGGCAGCAGUGGGGAAUUUUGGACAAUGGGGGCAACCCUGAUCCAGCCAUGCCGCGUGAGUGAAGAAGGCCUCGGGUUGGUUAAAGACGUCUUUCGGUCCCGGGAAGGAAAGUACGCACAGGCUAAUACCCUGUGUGGAUGACGGUACCGGAACUAAGAAGACACCGGCGUAACUACGUGCCAGCAG